rnacentral:rRNA from 1 species
AUUGAACGCUGGCGGCAGGCUUAACACAUGCAAGUCGAGCGGGGUGAUGGUGCUUGCACUAUCACUUAGCGGCGGACGGGUGAGCAAUGCUUAGGAAUCUGCCUAUUAGUGGGGGACAACAUCUCGAAAGGGAUGCUAAUACCGCAUACGUCCUACGGGAGAAAGCAGGGGAUCACUUGUGACCUUGCGCUAAUAGAUGAGCCUAAGUCGGAUUAGCUAGUUGGUGGGGUAAAGGCCUACCAAGGCGACGAUCUGUAGCGGGUCUGAGAGGAUGAUCCGCCACACUGGGACUGAGACACGGCCCAGACUCCUACGGGAGGCAGCAGCGGGGAAUAUUGGACAAUGGGGGGAACCCUGAUCCAGCCAUGCCGCGUGUGUGAAGAAGGCCUUAUGGUUGUAAAGCACUUUAAGCGAGGAGGAGGCUCUUUUGGUUAAUACCCAAGAUGAGUGGACGUUACUCGCAGAAUAAGCACCGGCUAACUCUGUGCCAGCCGCCGCAGUAA